AGUAUACAAACACUAAUAGAGACCAAACGCAAGUGGCUCCUGAAGAAGCAGCAGUCAUAAAUAGUACUUACUGGUGAGGUUUUUUCUGCAUUUGUUCCAGACAGACACAACAAAUAAAAUACUUCAAAAAACCAACAAACCACCUUCAAGGUCAUCAUCUCCAAAGACUUGCAUCUAUCUCAAGGCAGUACAGACUGUACUUGAAGAGCCUACAAAAGACAGAGAGCCACCACUGCAAACACACUGAUGGUGAGGUAAAUGAGAGGGAAGUAUUACAUCUGUAUUUGCCUAUUGCCAAUACUCUUCACCUAGCCAAUGAUUUGGGCCAAUCUCCAAGGUGCAGCACCCAGCUAGAUGGUUCUUCAGCCGUGCAGUCACAGUCUGCGUCCACACAGACGUCUCUGCCUCCUUCUACACUGAAUGACACAUAGCAGAUUUGGGAUAUAUGUAUCAGCUUUGCUGUAAUGCCAACAUUUACCUCAUGCCCUACUGACUGCAGUAAGACCAUGAAAAAUUAAGCCCUAAGUCAUACCCUAUCCUUCUAAUGUCACAGUACCAAAAGUAGUAAUUUUGUACACAGUAAUUUUGUCUUCACUGAUUCAACUGAUUUUCUUUCUAUGCUGUUGCUAGAUCUUAUUUGAUCCAUUUUUUUUAAUGUAACAUUCUAACAGAUGUUAUUAUAUGAUCCACAGGAUCUCUGCAAGGAUGUGGACCCUCCUGCUCAACCACAGAGAGCAUUUUGCAUCCUCUUUUCACAAAAGUCUAUUGUAAAAUAUUUAAGGGAGAAAAAAGCCUUAUUUUUAUUGUAUAAAACAGAACUUUGUUAAUUCACUGAGUGCCUACUCAGGCACUGAAGAAUUUGCAGUAUUUAACUAUAGAUCUUUGUAGCGAACAACAAGUCCAAUCAUUCUGGUUGCAUUAUACGGAGUUCCGGGAAUUCUUUGGCAUGGAAGAACUGAAAUCCAUUUUCUUUGGCAUAUGGAAAUAAUAUUUGAUUUAAAGAUAUAUCCCACAGAAGUCAGUCUUGACAAAACCCAGUUUGAAUGUAAACAAGCAUUUUUACAUUAUUUAACCUUUCCCAUGCUCUC
rnacentral:lncRNA from 1 species